rnacentral:rRNA from 1 species
GGGGAGGUCUUAGACCGAAGUUCCUGAUUUCACACUGCCGAGAAAAGCCUCUAGCAAGGUCACAGGUGCCCGUACCGCAAACCGACACAGGUAGGCGAGGAGAGAAUCCUAAGGUGAGCGGGAGAACUCUCGUUAAGGAACUCGGCAAAAUGACCCCGUAACUUCGGGAGAAGGGGUGCUCCUUUAAGGAGGAGCCGCAGUGAAUAGGCCCAAGCGACUGUUUAGCAAAAACACAGGUCUCUGCGAAGCCGAAAGGCGAAGUAUAGGGGCUGACACCUGCCCGGUGCUGGAAGGUUAAGGGGAAGGGUUAGGACCUUUGGUCCGAAGCUUAGAACCGAAGCCCCAGUAAACGGCGGCCGUAACUAUAACGGUCCUAAGGUAGCGAAAUUCCUUGUCGGGUAAGUUCCGACCCGCACGAAAGGUGCAACGACUUGGGCACUGUCUCAACGAGAGACCCGGUGAAAUUAUACUAUGCGUGAAGAUGCGCAUUACCCGCGACAGGACGGAAAGACCCCGUGGAGCUUUACUGUAGCCUGAUAUUGAAUGUCUGUGCAGCUUGUACAGGAUAGGUGGGAGCCAUCUGAAGCAGGAGCGCCAGCUUCUGUGGAGGCAGCCGUGGGAUACCACCCUGGCUGUAUGGACAUUCUAACCCAGGACCGUGAUCCGGUUCGGAGACAGUGUCAGGCGGGCAGUUUGACUGGGGCGGUCGCCUCCCAAAAGGUAACGGAGGCGCCCAAAGGUUCCCUCAGAAUGGUUGGAAAUCAUUCGUAGAGUGUAAAGGCAGAAGGGAGCUUGACUGCGAGACCUACAAGUCGAGCAGGGACGAAAGUCGGGCUUAGUGAUCCGGUGGUUCCGCAUGGAAGGGCCAUCGCUCAACGGAUAAAAGCUACCCCGGGGAUAACAGGCUUAUCUCCCCCAAGAGUUCACAUCGACGGGGAGGUUUGGCACCUCGAUGUCGGCUCAUCGCAUCCUGGGGCUGUAGUCGGUCCCAAGGGUUGGGCUGUUCGCCCAUUAAAGCGGUACGCGAGCUGGGUUCAGAACGUCGUGAGACAGUUCGGUCCCUAUCCGUCGUGGGCGCUGGAAGUUUGAGAGGAGCUGUCCUUAGUACGAGAGGACCGGGAUGGACACACCGCUGGUGUACCAGUUGUUCCGCCAGGAGCAUAGCUGGGUAGCUACGUGUGGAAAGGAUAAGUGCUGAAAGCAUCUAAGCAUGAAGCCCCCCUCAAGAUGAGACUUCCCAUCACUUCGAGUGAGUAAGAUCCCUCAGAGACGAUGAGGUUGAUAGGUUCGAGAUGGAAGCGUGGUGACACGUGGAGUUGACGGAUACUAAUCGAUCGAGGACUUAACUAA